rnacentral:rRNA from 1 species
GACGAACGCUGGCGGCGUGCUUAACACAUGCAAGUCGAACGAUGAAGCUGGAGCUUGCUCCAGCGGAUUAGUGGCGAACGGGUGAGUAACACGUGAGCAAUCUGCCCUUGACUCUGGGAUAACUGCGGGAAACUGUAGCUAAUACCGGAUACGAGAUUUGAAGGCAUCUCCAGAUCUGGAAAGAAUUUCGGUCAAGGAUGAGCUCGCGGCCUAUCAGCUAGUUGGUGAGGUAAUGGCUCACCAAGGCGACGACGGGUAGCCGGCCUGAGAGGGUGACCGGCCACACUGGAACUGAGACACGGUCCAGACUCCUACGGGAGGCAGCAGUGGGGAAUAUUGCACAAUGGGUGAAAGCCUGAUGCAGCAACGCCGCGUGAGGGAUGAAGGCCUUCGGGUUGUAAACCUCUUUUAGUAGGGAAGAAGCGAAAGUGACGGUACCUACAGAAAAAGCACCGGCUAACUACGUGCCAGCCGCCGCAGUAAAAC